rnacentral:lncRNA from 1 species
GAAUUGGAAAACACUUUAUUUACCAUAACAUAGGUACCAAGUGCUCAGCAUUUCCUGGAGUGUGUCAAACACUAGCCUAGUGUCUGCUUACAUGUGUAAAUCUGGGUGAAGAGCUGGAGUUUCUCAUCUCUGUCCCCUUACAGUGUUCGUCUUGAGUCUGAAUGAGAACCGUCCCGCACUUCCACCCCCAUCCCCAAGCAGGCGCUGCAACUGUGCUCCUAUCUGGUCCCAGGACCCUGCUCCAUCAGGCCAAAGAGCAACAGGGUCAUUGCUCAGAGGGGCUGGAGGGUAAUGGGGGCCUGUGGGCUGCACAGGGAUGAGGACAGCACUGAAGAAGACACAGGUCUCGCUGCGUGCUAAG